rnacentral:lncRNA from 1 species
AUGGAUGCAAGUGAGGUGCAUUGGGCUUCCUUCAUGGGGACCAGAGCAGAUCAGGUCAAUAUAGUGGGCUGAGGAGUCCUCCACACUAACAGAGAGAGGGUCAUUCCAAAAAACAGCCAAACCACCAGCUAGACCGAUAGGGGACACCAAAAAGCUAUGCUGGUAAUGCAAUCUCCUUUGUACUCUAGAUAAAAAGGAGUCCUGGUUUUUAGAUUCCAUCAAAAACAAAAGGUCGGGCCGAUCAUGGACCACGAGGUCCUUAAGAGCUUGAACUGUCAAGGGGUUGCCCAGCCCCUGACAGUUCCAACUUACAAACUUCAUCUAUCCCUUGGUGGCUUUUUAGGGCAAGCCACCAUCGCCCAAUUGUCAACCCCUUCGGCUUUAAGGAUAGGGGUGUCCAUUAGUUGGUUGUCAUCCAAAACAGGUAAUCCAGGAGCAAGCGAUUCAUAAGGCGAGAACCUCUUAGCUUUUUUAUGGGGGCUACCUCUGGUAAGCAUGUGAGGACUCUUUAAUUUGACUGGUUUUGAUGAAUCUGCUGCUGGAACAUUGAGAGCAGUAGGUACUGCUGAAACAGGGGACUUCAUUUUAAGCAAGGCAGCUUCAACCUGAAGAUGACCCUACUGAUCUGAGGUGCCUUUUAACUUUGCCCCCUGCAUAUAAUGAUCCCUUCUUUGUGCUGGCUGAGAUAUGACAACAAUUUGUCCAAGUUGUUGUGGUUGCACCUUCUCAGACAUGUGGAGGUCUUGCAUAACACUUGGCUGAGUUGAUGAUGCAGGGGUUGUACCACUCGAUGGAAACAGGGCAGUUUUUGAUCGAUGAGUAGAGGAGGCUCCAACAUGCUGGUCAUUAAGCCCAGAGGGUGAGAGAGGCACUUCAGAAGUGGGGAGCGCAAGGGUCUUGGUUACUAAGGAAGGAUGUGUUUCAGGUAUAACAUCAUCCAUCUCAGUAGGGCUAACAAGAUCGCCAUAAAAGGUAUGCCAGUAAGGGCUGUGUUCUCUAACUUCUGAUCGCAGCCAUUGACCAAAAGCCGUUGAUUCCUUACCUGCCAGUUCUGCAGCAGUGAGGGGAGUUUCUGGACAACUCACAGCAAAGUGGCCUAAUCUACCACAAGAGUAGCAGAAAUGAGGGAGGCGCUCGUACCUGAAAUCAAGCCAGAAAGUCUUGCCAUUAAUACGAAGUAAGUGACCUGAUUUCAAAGGCUGACUGAGGGUAAGUUCGACCCUAGCUCUUCCUGCUCUGAAAUUAGGAGCCUCCCUGGUGUCUACUCUGGUUUCAAUCACUCGUCCCACAUGCCGAACCACUUUGUCCAGCAUCUGUUCUGAACACCAUUCGAGAGGCAGACCGAGAAUGUGGACCCAAAGGCACAUUUAGAGAAAUCAUAGCAAUGCAACGGCGUGUUAGGAAGCCAAGGUUUUAGGAUGACAAGAUGACCUGAGAACGACCAGGGACCUCCAUCAAGGAUACGAUUUUUCUCCUCUACCGAAUUAAACCUUACAACAUAUAGGCCUGUAUCACGUUGUGAAAAAUCUGCCUGUUCUACUCUCCAUGAGUGUUUCAGCGUGGAUUGAAGAGCCUGGAAAUUUACAGAUGGGUUUGAAAGGAGAUUACCAACUAAAAUAAGCUUGCAUUCUUCAAUUUGUUCCAGUGGUGGCGGGCCUUCCCAAUCUUCCAGUUCAUGGUCAGCACAUAGUCUGCCCAAUUUGUUGCACAGGGCAGCUAUUCGUGACUCCUCCUCCAAGAUAUUUCCUCCCAUGGAAAAGGGGAAAGGGGCGACAAAGGGGAAAAA